UAUUGGAAUACAGCUCCAUCCAUUCAUUUACAUGUGGUCUGUCGUGGCUUUAGUGCUGCAACAGAAGAAUUUCACAGUUGUGUGAUUGCAAUGGAGGCCUUACGGCCUGUAAAGCCUGAAAUAUUUAUUAUCUGCUCCUUUAAGAAAAAGUUUGCUAGGGCCUGGCCUUACAUGUCAGGCCUUAUUAUAAUGUGAAUACCUCAUUUAACUGGUGAGUAAUGUAAGACAUUUUAUUUAAAAGACACAGAUACAGAAACAAAAUGUGGUACAAAUGUACAAUGGGAUAUUAGUCUUAAAAAAGAAAGAAAUUCCGACUUAAAAAAGAAGGAAAUUCCUACAACUUAGAUGAACCUUGAGAACAUUACACUGAGUGAAAUAUCACCAAAAAGACAAAUACUGUAUGAUUCCACUCAUAUGAGGUAUUUAGAGCAGUCAAAUUCAUAGAGACAGAAAAAAUUGUGUUGCAAGGGGUUGAGGAGCAGGGAGUGGGGAUGAAUCUUUUUCAUUUUUAUUUUAUUUUAUUUUAGUUUUAUUAUUUUUGAGACGAAGUCUCUCUGUGUCACCCAGGCUUAAGUGCAGUGGUGCAAUCUCAACUCACGGGAACCUCCACCUCCUGGGUUCAAGCGAUUCUCCUGCCUCAGCCUCCCGAGUAGCUGGGAUUACAGGCAUGUGGCACCACACCCAGCUACUUUUUGUAUUUUUAGUAGAGACAAGGUUUCACCAUGCUGGCCAAGCUGGUCUCGAACUCCUGGCCUCAAGCGAUUCGCCCACCUCAGCCUCCCAAAGUGCUGGAAUCAUGGGCUUGAGCCACCGUGCCUGGCAGGAAAUGAAUGUUUAAUGGGUAUAAAGUUUCAGUUUGUAAUGUGAAAAAGAAUCCGGUCUCUCUUCAUCUCUCCCCUUCAACCUUGCAUCCCUACCAUACCCCAUCCCAGCUCCACCAGGAAGGGGGUCUGAUCACAGCCAGAUCUUUUAGGAUUUAUAGGCCAUACGGAUGGAUGGCAGCAUGGUUGCACAACAACGCGAAUGUACUUAACGCCACUGAACUGUACACUUAAAAAUGGUUAAGAUUGCAAAUUUUAUGGUAUGCAUAUUUUACUAUAAUUUUUUAGAAAAAAGAAGUAGAAAGAAACAGAUAUGUGAUGAAGUAGAAUGUAAUUUUCCACAAACUUUUUUUUUUUUUUUUUUUUUUGAGACAGAGUUUCGCUCUGUUGCCCAGGCUGGAGUACAGUGGUGCGAUUUUGGCUCACUGCAACCUCCACCUUCCAGGCUCAAGUGACGCAUCUGCCUCAGCCUCCUGAGUAGCUGGGAUUACAAGCGCCCGCCACAGCGCCGGGCUAAUUUCUGUAUUUCUACCUGAGGCAGGGUUUCGCCAUUUUGGCCAGGCUGGUCUUGAACUCCUGGCCUCAAGCGAUCCACCCACCCCAGCCUCCCGAAGUGCUGGGAUUACAGGCAUGAGCCAUUGCACCUGGCCUCACAAACUUUUUUUUUUUUUUAGAUAAAAUAUAACACUUCAAAGAAUUUUCAGACAUCCUCCCUCGCCUCCGCUGUUAAGGACACACAGGUGGACGUUGCUGGGAAGCACUGCAAAUAUGGCACUAAGUGGUGGCCUUUCCAGGUGCUUGGAGGAUGUCACUCAAUUGCAUUCCUCUCUGGUACAGGUGAGUCCCAUCAGUUCACAGUGCAAAUAAAGGCCAUUAAGCCCAGGAGGUAUCAAGGUGGGAGGGUGGCUGCCUGCACCUUCCUGGGCUGUAAGGUUGCCCGACACAGUUGCAGGAUCUCUUGAGGGAAGAUAUCAGCUCCAAGUCUGGCAUCCCCCACCAAUCACACCAGCAGGGGGCCUGCUGGAGUGCUGAAUGAAGCCAUCAUGAGGAAUCCCACUGUUCCACCGACUUCUAAGUAAAACGGAGCUGGGUGGCACAGCCUGAGGCGUCAUUGAUUAUUGUGACAAGCAGAUCUGCAGGCUGAGUCGUGGAGCCAAUUCCACACAUUCAUCAGGACAGAGCCUUCCGUGCUAGGGGGACCGCGGCCCAUAACAGGACUUCUGAAGGACAAGACACCCUCCUCCUGGCCUCUCAAGGGACUGCACCCAUCACAACUGGGCUCCCUGCCUGCGGGAUGACCUGAGACUCCAAGGGGGCCUUUGGAAGCCACUAUUCACCAUUGCUUGGGGGCAAAGAACAGAGUCCCCGGAAGUCUUGUAGCAUUUAUGGGGUAUUGCCCUCUGACAAAAUCUACACCUGGGAGAUUUGGCUGUGAUUAGAUCCCCUUCCUGUUGGAGCUAGGAUGGGGAAGGUAGGGAGGCUGGGUUGGAUGCAAGACAUGGAGACAGACAGGGAAAACCACUUGGCUUAAUGCUUUUGCAUCAGGAAAUGCAGAUUCCCUGGUCUUCUUAGGAAGCCUCAUGUUGACCCUCGUAACCAAAACAGAAGUUAAGACCUAGAAAUGAAAAUGAUUGUGUUUCUGUGGAGAUUUUAAAAAAUUAAAUAACGGGUGAAAGCAAAAGAUAAAAUAAAGUCGAUGGCUCUGGGCUAAGUCUUCUCAUCUGACUCUCAAUCCAGUCGGCACGUGUAUGAGAGGACAUUCACUUUUCUCUUCUUUCUAAAUGUGGUUGAAUUGUCAAAUGACACUUUGUUGAAAAUAUUAAAACCUAGAGGUCAUGCCAAACCCAGCUUGAAAGCGAACAGACAUUCUUUCGUCUUAGCACGAGUGCAUAUUUGGAAUUGUAAAUGCAAAUUCUUUGGAGACAGACUCGCCUUCCUGGCCGGCGAGUACAGACAGAACAUUUGAAAGCAGGUCUCGCUUUAAUUUUUGACAAGUGUUAGGAAGAGAUACUCUUCGCAGCUUGAGAGAGAGGGGAAAUGAAAGCCAGCUUGUGGGUUAGAGGAGGUUGGGGGGAGGGC
rnacentral:lncRNA from 10 species